rnacentral:rRNA from 1 species
UACGUAGGGUGCAAGCGUUAAUCGGAAUUACUGGGCGUAAAGCGUGCGCAGGCGGUUAUGCAAGACAGAUGUGAAAUCCCCGGGCUCAACCUGGGAAUGGCGAUGGAGACUGCAAGGCUAGAGUUUGGCAGAGGGGGGUAGAAUUCCGACGUGUAGCAGUGAAAUGCGUAGAUAUGUGGAGGAACACCGAUGGCGAAGGCAGCCCCCCUGGGUCAAAACUGACGCUCAUGCACGAAAGCGUGGGGAGCAAACAGG